UUGCAUAUCAAUAAGCGGAGGAAAAGAAACCACCGGGAUUGCCUUAGUAACGGCGAGUGAAGCGGCAAAAGCUCAAAUUGAAAUCUGGUUCCUUCGGUGCCCGAGUUGUAAUUUGGAGAGGGAACUUUGGGGCCGUUCCUGGUCUAUGUUCCUUGGAACAGGACUUCUAGAGGGGGAGAAUCCCGUGUGGCGAGGAGUGCGGUUCUUUGUAAGUGCCUUUGAAGAGUCGAGUUGUUUGGGAAUGCAGCUUUAAGUGGUGGGAAAUUCCAUCUAAAGCUAAAUAUUGGCGAGAGACCGAUAGGAACAAGUCCAGUGAUGGAAAGAUGAAAAGAACUUUGAAAAGAGAGGAAAAAGUACGUGAAAUUGUUGAAAGGGAAGGCCAUUUGAUCAAAAUGGUGUUUUGUGCCCUCUGCUCCUUGUGGGUAGGGGAAUUUCGCUUUCACUGGGCCAGCCUCAGUUUUGGUGGCAGGAUAAAUCCAUAGAAUGUAGCUUGCCUCGGUAAGUAUUAUAGCCUGUGGGAAUACUCCCAGCUGGAGUGAGGGGUCCGACGUUAGCAAUGAUCCUCCUUUGG
rnacentral:rRNA from 1 species